rnacentral:rRNA from 1 species
GACGAACGCUGGCGGCGUGCUUAACACAUGCAAGUCGGACGAUGAACCCGGAGCUUGCUCCGGUGGAUUAGUGGCGAACGGGUGAGUAACACGUGAGUAACCUGCCCUUGACUCUGGGAUAACUGCGGGAAACUGUAGCUAAUACCGGAUACGACCCUCGGCGGCAUCGCCAGGGGGUGGAAAGAAUUUCGGUCAAGUGAUGGACUCGCGGCCUAUCAGCUAGUGGGUGAGGUAACGGCUCACCAAGGCGACGACGGGUAGCCGGCCUGAGAGGGUGACCGGCCAGACUGGGAAGGAGAUACGGCCCAGACUCCUACGGGGGGCAGCAGUGGGGAAUAUUGAACAAUGGGCGCAAGCCUGAUGCAGCGACGCCGCGUGAGGGAUGACGGCCUUCGGGUUGUAAACCUCUUUCAGCAUCGACGAAGCGAAAGUGACGGUAGGUGCAGAAGAAGGACUGGCCGACUACGUGCCAGCAGCCGCCGUAA